rnacentral:rRNA from 1 species
CCUACGGGUGGCAGCAGUGAGGAAUAUUGGUCAAUGGGCGAGAGCCUGAACCAGCCAAGCCGCGUGAGGGAUGAAGGACCUAUGGUUGGUAAACUUCUUUUAUAUGGGAAUAAAGUGAGGAACGUGUUCCUUAUUGUAUGUACCAUAUGUACAAGCAUCGCCUAACUCCGUGCCAGCAGCCGCGGUAAUACGGAGGAGGCGGGCGUUAUCCGGAUUUAUUGGGUUUAAAGCGUGCGUAGGGGGUGAAUUAAGUCAGCGGUGAAAGUUUGUGGCUCAACCAUGAAAUUGCCGUGGAAACUGGUUGACUUGAGUAUAUUUGAGGUAAGUGGAAUGCGUGGUGUAGCGGUGAAAUGCAUAGAUAUCACGCAGAACACCGAUUGCGAAGGCAGCUAACUAAACUAUAACUGACACUGAGGCACGAAAGCGUGGGGAUCAGACAGGAUUAGAUACCCCAGUAGUC